UUUUGCUUGUUCUAUGUACAAACAUAUUCUGUUCUCACUUCAAUUUUUCUGUGUUCCUACAAAAAUGUGGUGAAAGUGAAAGACAAGCUGCCCUUUUGUUUUCCUAGUGUUUCUUUGAUUUUUCUUUUUCUUUUUAUUUGUGGGGGCACUACAAGAAAAAUGAUCUUUUGCAACGAUUUAAGUAUUGUUGGGAAUAAAAUUAUUGCAAUAAAUCAUUAAUUCCAGCGAUUUUGAUGUUGCUGCGGACUUUUAAUAUCAAGUUUUGAAAUUGAUCUUUUGCAACGAUUUUUUGACUUUUUGCGACGAAAAUAUUUGCUGUAAUAUAAAAACACAUCAUAAAGUUUUGAAAUGGAUGUUUGCAGCGAUUUUUUUAUUUUUUGCGACAUAAAAUUUGCUGCAAAAUGUAAAAAAACUAGUUCCGACAAUAAAUGGCCCGAUGAAACUAGUGUUUUUUAAGAGCAAAUCACUCGGCGCCAAAACGUACCAAAAUGCCCUUUCCCCCUGGAACACUAUUUCGCAUUUGAGAAAUCCCGCCCGCGUCGACCUCUCUAGUCUUUCGUCGCCCAGCACCCAGUCUUCGAAAUCGCCAUCGCAGACUCACUUCCACCCUCCCCCUCCGUUCGAAGCAAUUAUUUCCUCCCCCUAUCAGAGUCUUUGAAGCCUUAGCCCAAUCCCUAUUCCCAUCCCUCGAAAUCCAUUGAAGCCCCAUCAUAUGAAGCUUCAUCAACCACGACUCUGGGUGUUUAUUUAAUCAUGACUGACAUUAACAAUACAGUGACAAAAUUGCGCAGUAAGGGAAAUUACCAUGAAAGCAAGGAGUUCUUUGCCUGCUUCAUUCUUGUUUUCUUCUUUAAAUUGGGUGUGUAACAAGGUGGAGAGAAGUUAGAAACAAGCAUAAAUCGUGCAACCUACAGCCUGAAGAGGUGAAAUGAUUUUCUGUCCUGUUUUGUUACAAUUUGUACACUUUCUACAAAACAUUAUGCUAUACUUUUAACUCUAUUUCUUCCUAUAUUAAUCCCGAUAACUUAAUUAGUUCCCAGCUUAUUACUUGUUUCCCGUUACGUACUCUAGCUGGAGCUAGCUUUGAGACAAAAGCCUUAUGAUCGAUGUUUGUUAAUUUAUUUUCAUAA